UAUUACACACCAAGAUAGAGCAUAGUGAGAGAGAAAACGUCCUCGAAAUAAGAUAGCUAUAUGUUUAUAUUUUGAUCAGAACCAAAACAAUAAACCACAUACAACGAUUGGUUGAAAGAAUCGUUUUUUCCGAAGUUAGCCGAAGUGACGAUCAAAACCAAAACAAUAAACCACAUACAACGAUUGGUUGAGAGAAUCGUGUUUUCCGAAGCUAUCCGAAUGAUGCUGAAUUGUUAAGCAGCGUUGGCAAUAUUUUUGGAAAAGUAUAUAAUCCCAGGUUUUCGCUUCCGUUCGAGAGGAAAUAUGACAUAAUUAUUUCAAUGUAAAAUGUAUCGGCUAUUGAAUAAAUGAUAAUACUGACAAUACUAAUGCUUGAUGAAUUCAGGAUAUGUUCUAAGCCAAGUUACAGAAUGAAAUUAUGUUCAUAAAUUUAAUAUGAAAAAAUAAGGAGAUGACGAAGAAAGAAGUUUGGCAACGUUGUUUAUUUAACAACCCACUUCGAAUGGCCACAUGUUUACAUAUUCUCGAAUCUUGAGUGAUACAAACGUUAUUGUUGGACGAUUUACGUGAAAACGUAUUAUUUUUAACUAGAAACUGCAAAAAUGGUGAAUCGCUGUGUGGUGUGCAAAAAAAUCAGCAGUAAAAGCAGUGGGAAAUCCAUGCACCGAAUCUUCCAAAUGGGUGUAUGUUUGCUCUGACCAUUUCUGUGACGAAGAUUUCAUCCUUAAAUUUGGAAAAAAAUGUUUGAAAACUGAAGCUAUUCCAUCCAGGAUUUCAUUGCCUGAUCCUUGUUCAAGUAACACAUUAGCGGCUUCAGACGAAAGGUAUAUGACCCAGGACACAUCAGAUG